ACGAACGCUGGCGGCAGGCCUAACACAUGCAAGUCGAACGCUCGCAGCAAUGCGGGAGUGGCGCACGGGUGAGUAACACGUGGGAAUAUACCUUUCGCUGGGGGAUAACUUCGGGAAACUGAAGCUAAUACCGCAUACGCCCUAUGGGGGAAAGAUUUAUCGGCGAGAGAUUAGCCCGCGUCCGAUUAGCUAGUUGGUGAGGUAAUGGCUCACCAAGGCUACGAUCGGUAGCUGGUCUGAGAGGAUGAUCAGCCACACUGGGACUGAGACACGGCCCAGACUCCUACGGGAGGCAGCAGUGGGGAAUAUUGGACAAUGGGCGCAAGCCUGAUCCAGCCAUGCCGCGUGAGUGAAGAAGGCCUUAGGGUUGUAAAGCUCUUUCGACGGGGACGAUGAUGACGGUACCCGUAGAAGAAGCCCCGGCUAACUUCGU
rnacentral:rRNA from 1 species